AUUGAACGCUGGCGGCAGGCCUAACACAUGCAAGUCGAACGAGUGGCGGACGGGUGAGUAAUGUCUGGGAAACUGCCUGAUGGAGGGGGAUAACUACUGGAAACGGUAGCUAAUACCGCAUACCAUCGGAUGUGCCCAGAUGGGAUUAGCUAGUAGGUGGGGUAAAGGCGCCAUUAGGGGACGAACCCUAGCUGGUCUGAGAGGAUGACCAGCCACACUGGAACUGAGACACGGUCCAGACGCCUACGGGAGGGAGCAGUGGGGAAUAUUGCACAAUGGGCGCAAGCCUUAUGCAACCAUGCCGCGUGUAUGAAGAAGGCCUUCGGGUUGUAAAGUACUUUCAGCGGGGAGGCGUUACCCGCAGAAGAAGCACCGGCUAACUCCGUGCCAGCAGCCGCGGUAAUUC
rnacentral:rRNA from 1 species